AGGAUCGGAGCUGACGCCACCUCCUGGACAGUGGGCAGUUCGUUGUCACGCGGGACCAAAUUUUGAAUUUGAAAACAGUGGAUAAAUUUAUUGUUUACUACGAUGAUGAUGAUUAUGAUUGUUAUUUAAUGAAAUAAUUAAACUAUGAUUAAGGAUAGAUGUAAUUGAUAAAAUAACUUUUAUCUGAAGACUGAAUUUUAUUAUAAAGUAUGGAUAAAACUUGAUCAGUAAUAACAGUUGUAUUCGUAAAGAGUUCUCGGAGAGAAGUGAAGUUACAUCAGACGGCAGAGAGAUCUCGGACCUUCACUCUCCAACUUCUCCCCACUACUCUCAUGUUCACACUCAUGCUUAUAUGUAUAUAUUCUUAUAUAUCUAUGUUCUUUACUAAAUAUUAUACUUAUACAUUUAUACUUUCUACUAAUUCAAAUUUGGGAUAUAAGCUUACACAUAUACGUUCUUCACUUUAUCCAUUCUACAACUUCUUAUUACUUAUUCUAUUUAUAUGUACUUAGAUACAAUCUUCCAGUUAAAUAUUCUAGGCUAUCAGAGGUGUAUUCCUCCAUAAUUAUUCUAUAUUUAAUUAUUUAGUACGAUUGACAUUACUAUUUAUUGUGAAACAUUAUUAUAAUUAAUAUAAUGCUAUAUUUCUAUAUUUUCUUUAAUUUAUUUAUUAUACGCGUCACUCUUUAUUUAAUAUUAACAGUAAUAGUUAAAUUCUGGUGAGACAUGGUUUUCAUUAGUAAGUAACAUUUAUUAAUUAUAUAUUUUCUUUUCUUACUUGUUGAUAGAAUAUGUAUUUGUUUAUAACCAUAUUGACGGUUAACUUUAGAACAAGGACCUAUUCAUGAUUUUUAUGCGUAUGUUUUGUUUAGGUUUUAAGUAUCGGAUGACAGGAAACGUUCCAAGACCACUCAACCUGUAUUUAUAUUUCUCUGAAUACAAAAUAAAGGUUUAUCUAUCUAUUUAUUUAAACUUUCUUAUAAUAAAAAUAUAUAAUUUAAUGAGUAUGUGCCACGACGAUUUAUCAUUUAAAUUAUUGACUCAAUAUUGUUAAGACGCAAUAAGUGUUGUAAGAAAUUAAUAUAUAAUUUCAAAUGGAAUUCAAAUGCGCGCUUCUUAUAUAUCUCAAGUUUACUAAUUAAUUAACAGGUGGAGGCACCUGAGGCUGUUGAGGACAUAACACCUCCCCCGUUAAUGAAAAUUCGACAUAUCGUUCGUCGAAUUUUUCUCUCAUAUAUACACAUGUAUAUAACGAUAUAUAAUAAUAGCUGAAGCUAAUUCUGAAUGAAAUAUAAAUUCUGCAAGACAAUUACCUAUAUAAAUAAUACCAUUACCGGUUGUUAAAUCGUGGUCGCACAUUUACAUUACAAGUUACAAAAAUAAUCAUUUUUAUGAUUUAAAACUAACAGUAAAUAUUAACUCAGGUUACGCACAAUAUUUAUAUUACACAAGAAUACAUAUUUUUUAAGGGUGAGCAGCACUAACCGGAUGUUCGAAUUUAUUUUUCUAAUUACGUUUGGAAUAAUUACGUCACUUAAAUGAUGAAAACCUUCAAAAAAAAAGUUUAUCUUAAACAUUUUUCGGAAGCUAUAAAAUUUUUGUAAUAAGAAUUGAUCAAUAAAUUCAAAGAAAAGUAAAAUUUAAAAACUCGUUUAGUACGGCCCAGCCUUAUCAUUGAGGUCACGGUGUUUACAUUUUAGCAAGAGUUUAAUCCAGACUAUGAAGUAUUAUACGGAUCAACAAGAUAUAUUAAUUUCAACUUGUUUGUAUGUACGACUUGGUAUGUUAUGGGGUGAAUUAGGUAGCUACAUUUCAUUAUUCCAGGUUUCAGUAAUUUUAUAAGGGUCUAUAUAGUUACGAUCAAGUUCGUUGGUUUUCGCGUCAUUUGCCAAAAAUACCCAAUUUCCUUAAGAAAACUUAUUAGGGUUUACCCGACAGUCACAAUAUUCCUUUGAUUUGAAUGUAGCUCUGUCUGGAUUUUCAGCAGCUUUUUAAUUGUGUUACUUGACUUAUAAUCGGCAGACUAGAAAUUACACAACAAGUAAGAUUGAUUUUCUGAUUCUUUUCGUCAGCCGUUCAGGGUUUUUAGGGUUCUUGUCAGGUUCAUCGUCUGAGGAAUAAACGUCAUUUAACAUCGGUUCAGGAAAAGUAUCAUUAUCAUUAAAAGAAUUGGCAGGGAGGUUGGUUUGAACCGGAUAUAAGAAAACUAGAUAUUUAUGACUACAAACAUUUGUUGCUGAUUCCGGAAUAUUUAAAUAUAAACUAGUUUCACUUCUUUUAGAUAACUUUAAUGUUAGUACUUAAGCAUGCAUUUCUAUAAUGUCUCUUUCAUUUUCACACAUUUCAGGCGAGGACGUCCUCUCUGGCAUCUCAUGCAUGGGGGACUCAAACCCCCACACGACAUCCGAGCUCGGUACAACAACUGCUGGGUGGUCCAACCACCCAAGGGACAGGGCUAAUAAACCCCUCUGAAGAGGGCUGCCACUCAUCCAACAACUCGUCUCCCUGGGAAGAGAGUACUGUCCUCGUUCGAGUCUCGCUUUCCGCCUCAACGUCAGGUCGGCGAGUCGUCGGGAAGGCAUCUCUAUCCUUCAGAUAUGUGCACAACGUGCCAAGGGUGGCCAUAAACUUGCUGUUUACGCCACUAUAUUUGGAGGGGGUUGUCCAACAACCCCAGGGAGUCGAUGCCAUAAUUUUUUUUUCACACUCUCUUUUUUUUUUAUCUUAUUCUGUUUUUAUCCAUGCUAAUACUCAACCUACUAUUUCCUAUGAGUUUAUCCUCAAGAAGCGGUUUCCCAAGCUUUGUGUUCUAAAUCAAUAAUAUAUUAAGUAAUUUUAUGUCAAUGGGGUUUCGAGAGAGCGCAUCAACAUUAGCGUUCAAUCGACCUUCCCUAUAAUUGACUUCAUAUUCAUAUUUCCGUACUUCAGCAACCGAUGUAGGAGUUAAGAUAUAGGAAUUUUUAUUCUAUGAGCUCACACCAAUGAUUUAUGAUCUGUGACUUUCAGGAGUUCAGGGGCAGAGUAGUAGGAAGGUAUUUUCUAAUGUCUUCUGGCUGAGAAUCGCACCGAGGGCAUAAAAAGAAGUGUUUGUUGUCGUGACGAAAAGUUUUGAAAGUGGGGGAACUGGAGAAUAAAUUAAUAUCAACUUAUAAUUAAUAUCAGAAUCUAUCGUGAAUUAAAAUUUCUCCAAAUUAAGUAGUUCAUCACUAUUAAUAGUUAUACACGGUGAGGUAAUAUGCUUGUUGUUGUGAGUUUUUAUGGAAGCGUCAUUUUGAAUAAGUUUUGUUUCAUUUGGUCUUCUGUGUGGGCUGUAUUGUCAGUUUGUUGGUCGUUGUAUGCAUUGAAAUUUUGGUUUGAUGUUGUGUUAUUUUCUCUAACCCAAGUAAACCUAUUUUUGCAGAUUUGUGCGAAAUGACCAGGCUUAGAACAUAUUGAACAAAUUACGUUCAUGGAGUUAUUACAGUCUUUUUGUAAUGUCCUCGUCCUCCACAAGAAAAACAAAUAAUCGAAUUACGGUCAAGUCGUCUUAUAUUGUCAUUGUUAUGUGUCUGAGUUACCCGUACAGUAGCCUGGUUAUUAGUUGAUGAUUCCUGUGGCAGUCUGUUAUUGUUAUGAUUUCUUCUAUCUCCAUAAUGAUUGUUCGCAAAUUUGAUAUGAUUUUGGGAACUACUAAUGGAAUAUUGGCUGGAGUAAGGAUUAUUACUACAGUGGGAAUGUAUUUUAAAAAGUGAAUUUUUUUGUUCCAAUUCUUUUUCUAAUUCUACGGCAAGAUCUACUGCUCGCGACAGAGUAAGAGGUUUUUGACUAGCAGCCCACAAUCCUAACUCUCCCCUAAGACCCCGUACGAAGCUAUCUCGAGCUCCUUCUUGGGUACUAGCUAAUAACCCGGUUCGUAUUUCACCCGAAUGCUUAUCCAUAAUUACUUCUGACGUUCCUUGAACGAUUUCGUUGAUUCUAGUAACGUAAUCUACGAUGGUUUCACCAUCCUUUUAAUAAAUAUUCGAAAGUAACGACUGCCAUUGAGAUAGAGUUCUACUCGGCACUAAAGCUCUUUUAAGAUUUCCCAAAAUCCCUUCAAAUGCUAAUCCCGAUUGAUUUGAAAUAUAUUUGCUGGCUUUACCCAAUAUACGAGAUUUUAUCAACUGAGUUAAAUACAAUUUACCAGAUGGAUGUAUUAGAUUUAAGGUUUGAUUACAAAGUUCAAUAAAAUUAUUAACUGGCAUAUUUUCUCCAUUGAAUACGGGUAUAAGGUUUAUAGCGUCUUUGAUACUCAAAAAUUGGGAAUUACUUGUAUGAACUAGAUUAUUGGUAGCAUAAUUGUGCUCAUUAUUUCCGUAGCCCGCGAGUACCGGUUCAAUUGGUACGCGAUUCGAAUUAUGAACUGGAGUAGCUGGAAUGCUAGGGGUUAUAGAAGGAGAGAUGGUGGAAAAAUUGUCAUUAUUAGUGUUCUGAAUGUCAAUAGAACUAAUCACCACUUCAGUGCUCGCGUCCGAAAUGUGUUCGUCUGUAGUCACUAAAUUAGACAUUUUCGCCUCAAAUCAUGUUAAUGCUUCUAUAGUCUUGAUUCUAUUUGAUUACUAUAUUUAAUAUAUUAAGGAAAUACUAUAUCAAAUUACAGUUGAACUUUUAAUUAUAAUUAUUAAGAUUAUGGAAUUGUAAAUAAUACAAAAUAUUAUAAUGUGUACUUAUUUCGACUGAAACUUAUGUCUGAUAGCAAUUUAAAAGUGUUAAAUAUCAAAUAAUCGUCAAAUUUCAUA